GGCUUUGUGCAGUGGCAGUAUUGUAGCCAGUGAGGUUUAUCUGAGGUGUGAUUAUUGCUAAUUGAAAAGUAUGGCCUCAGUGUUCACCC
rnacentral:snRNA from 1 species